rnacentral:rRNA from 1 species
AUGAACAUGAAGUGCUCCUUCUCUGAGCUAACAUGCAGAUUGUUCUACGAGAUUGACAAUGAUGAUAACUGCGACCUGUCACGAGCCGAGUUGCAUGCCCUUAUCAUUGGAAUCAACUUUGAGGAGAUUGACUUUGACAAGAAUGAUGUUGUGGACAAAAUCAUGGACGACUUCGACACAUCAGGCAAUGGCACAAUAGAUGAGGGAGAGUUCGUUGUGGGAAUGAAGAUAUGGCUCAAUGAGGCCAAGAGAAAGGUGCAGGCUAUGGGUGCCUACACUAACAAGUUCAUCAACGACUACCAUGAGAGAACACGGGAGGAACAUGAUCAGCUGGCGGUAAGCGACGAAGAGGUGGAACCUGUGGAAAACCCGGAAGAAUGA